rnacentral:rRNA from 1 species
UACGUAGGGUGCAAGCGUUAAUCGGAAUUACUGGGCGUAAAGCGUGCGCAGGCGGUUUUGCAAGGCAGAUGUGAAAUCCCCGGGCUCAACCUGGGAACUGCAUUUGUGACUGCAAGGCUAGAAUCUGGCAGAGGGGGGUAGAAUUCCAGGUGUAGCGGUGAAAUGCGUAGGGAUCUGGAGGAAUACCGGUGGCGAAGGCGGCCCCCUGGACAAAGACUGACGCUCAGGUGCGAAAGCGUGGGGAGCAAACAGG